CCAUUGGGUUUUCUUUGGUGAGGUUUUUAAUGAGGAAGAUCUUGUAGCUUUCCAAGCUUAGGCUUUCACAAAGCUAAGCUUGAGGGGGAGUGUUGAGUUGAGUUGAUUAUAUUGGUAUGGAGAGAAGAGGAGUUGAAGAGGAGAAGAGAUGGAGAAGCUUGGGGAGUUUUGGUAUGAAUGGUACGGACGGCCGUACAAGGCCGUACAUGGCCGUACCGUCCGUACCAAAG
rnacentral:lncRNA from 1 species